ACUAUGGGAUCAGAAUCCCGCCAAAUGUAUUGCAGUCAUAGAUCGAAAAAUAAUAAGCAUAAAUAAAACAUUUAAAAACACAUGUAAAAUAAUAACGCACAAAACUGAAAAACAAAUGCAAUUUUUUUUUUAAAUAACAAACAACGCGGUCAUGGAUCGAAAAAUAAUAAGCGUGAAUCAAAAAUGUAAACACAUUUAAAAUUAUAUUGCACAAAACUGAAACAUGAAUUCAAAAUUUUCCAAAUCGCAAACAAAAUCAGGUUUCCUGCUCAUAUGUUAUUUUUUUGUGUGCUUGUGGUCUUUUCCCCUUUGCUCUUGUUUCCACGUUCUGCGCUUGCGUUUCUAAAUGUUGCAGUUAGAGUUUCAUGUAAAUCAGGGCGGGCUUCAGCGUCACCAUUGGGCCACAAGUUCUAGAUUGACAGCUGCUCCUCUAGCCAAUCAGUCCAAGGGGGAGUUGACGUCACUCCAAUGCGACUCGUGGCUGCUGUGGCAGGUGUGUGAAGCUGGAUAAUCAGCGUCAGCAGGCAAAUCCUGGACGAUCUCAGGUAAUUAGCCAUAAAUAUUUUGUUAAUGGGUGACAGAAACAUUCCCUUUGUGUGUUAUG
ensembl:lncRNA